GACGAGCGCUGGCGGCGUGCUUAACACAUGCAAGUCGAGCGGUAAGGCCCUUCGGGGUACACGAGCGGCGAACGGGUGAGUAACACGUGGGUGACCUGCCUCUAGCUCUGGGAUAAGCCUGGGAAACCGGGUCUAAUACUGGAUAUGACUCCAUGACGCAUGUUGUGGGGUGGAAAGCCUUGUGCGGCUGAGGAUGGGCCCGCGGCCUAUCAGCUUGUUGGUGGGGUGAUGGCCUACCAAGGCGA
rnacentral:rRNA from 1 species